rnacentral:rRNA from 1 species
UACGUAGGUGGCAAGCGUUGUCCGGAAUUACUGGGUGUAAAGCGCGUGUAGGCGGGAGGCCAAGUCUGCUGUGAAAUCGCCCGGCUCAACUGGGCGGGGUCGGUGGAAACUGGUCACCUGGAGGACGGUAGAGGCGAGUGGAAUUCCCGGUGUAGUGGUGAAAUGCGUAGAGAUCGGGAGGAACACCAGUGGCGAAGGCGGCUCGCUGGGCCGGACCUGACGCUGAGGCGCGGAAAGCUAGGGGAGCAAACAGGGAU